rnacentral:rRNA from 1 species
UACGUAGGGGGCAAGCGUUGUCCGGAAUCAUUGGGCGUAAAGCGCGUGUAGGCGGCUGACUAAGUCGGCUCUGAAAGCCCGGGGCUCAACCCCGGGAGGCGGGUGGAUACUGGUCAGCUCGAGUCCGGAAGAGGAGUGUGGAAUUCCUGGUGUAGCGGUGAAAUGCGCAGAUAUCAGGAGGAACACCGGUGGCGAAGGCGCCACUCUGGGCCGGUACUGACGCUGAGGAGCGAAAGCGUGGGUAGCAAACAGG